GGAGGUAGUGACAAUAAAUCACAAUGCGGGACUUUUAGUUUUGCAAUUGGAUUGAGAGCAAUGUAAAAGAGUUAUCGAUAAACAAUUGGAGGGCAAGUCUGGUGCCAGCAGCCGCGGUAAUUCCAGCUCCAAUAGCGUAUAUUAACGUUGUUGCAGUUAAAAAGCUCGUAGUUGAAGUGUGGGGUGAAAAGUUGGUUGUUUCUUUGAAAUGGCUGUCUGCUCACCCCCUCUCCAAUGUGUUAUUAUGGGUAUUAAUUUACUUGUAAUAGCUAUUGGUCAUUUACUGUGAGAAAAUUAGAGUGUUCAAAGCAGGCAUUUGCUUGAAUAUAUUAGCAUGGAAUAAUAGUAAAAGGCUUUUGUGGUCGAUUUAAUUGGUUUGUUCAUAAAAGCAAGAUUAAUAGGGACAGUUGGGGGUAUUCAUAUUCAAUAGUUAGAGGUGAAAUUCUCGGAUUUAUGGAAGAUGAACAAGUGCGAAAGCA
rnacentral:rRNA from 1 species